UUAUCGAGUAGGAGUAUCCGCCAGUACCGGCCGGCAUCUAGUACCGGCCAGUUGCUAGUUUUGGAAUAUUUGUUAGAAAUAGCGCUGUGAUGCCUACUGUGCCUUUAUUAGUACGCUCGUAUAGGGAUAUAUCUUGCGCAGCGGCGAGGUGUCGCGACCUACUCGCUGUCAGUACGAGGAUUUGUGUUGCGCUUAGUUAACCUACAAUACACGAGUAAAGUUAGUGAGUGAUUGCUGGAAUUUAGAAGACGCGUUCGAAAAUAAUCAAACCUGGUACAAGACAAUGGCGGGCGAUGAAAAUGAUGAUAAAACAAAAAUAAAGAAGGGCACCUGGGAUCCUGAUAAUAUGCGUAAAGCCGUGAAAAACAGGUGCUGAGUAACAAGAUGAGUACGCGUCAGGCAGAAACUUAGUAUCGGGUACCAACAACUACAUUGAAUGACAAAAUUAAUGCUGUCAAAAAUAACAAAAUAUAUGGCCUGGGUCCAUGAAGCGUGUACUAAUGUUUUAGAGCUGUCACAACAAUAUAUUUGCGAUUAUUGCCUAAUAUAGUUAUGAGUAUCUUUAGUGGCUGGUACUGGAGGCCAAUUUUCUGUAUGUUGAUUUUUCUUUAAUUUAAUAUUUUAUUAAUAAAGUUGAUUAUUUUUAAAUA